rnacentral:sRNA from 1 species
UGUAAGCCCGCAAUAGGGAUGGAAACGGAAAUCCUUUUUGAGGCACGAAAAAAGAUUGAAGUGUACAGCCCGGCGCGUU